rnacentral:rRNA from 1 species
UACGUAGGGGGCAAGCGUUGUCCGGAAUCAUUGGGCGUAAAGCGAGCGUAGGCGGCCCGAUAAGUCUGCUGUAAAAGUCAACGGCUCAACCGUUGAAAGCCGGUGGAUACUGUCGGGCUAGAGUUCGGAAGAGGCAAGUGGAAUUCCUGGUGUAGCGGUGGAAUGCGCAGAUAUCAGGAGGAACACCGGUGGCGAAGGCGGAUCUCUGGGCCAUUACUGACGCUGAGGAGCGAAAGCGUGGGGAGCGAACAGG